rnacentral:rRNA from 1 species
UACGGAAGGCAGCAGUGGGGAAUAUUGCACAAUGGGCGCAAGCCUGAUGCAGCCAUGCCGCGUGUAUGAAGAAGGCCUUCGGGUUGUAAAGUACUUUCAGUCGUGAGGAAGGUGUUAAGGUUAAUAACCUUAGCAAUUGACGUUAGCGACAGAAGAAGCACCGGCUAACUCCGUGCCAGCAGCCGCGGUAAUACGGAGGGUGCGAGCGUUAAUCGGAAUUACUGGGCGUAAAGGGCACGCAGGCGGUUAAUUAAGUUGGAUGUGAAAUCCCCGGGCUUAACCUGGGAAUGGCAUUCAAGACUGGUUAGCUAGAGUCUUGUAGAGGGGGUAGAAUUCCAUGUGUAGCGGUGAAAUGCGUAGAGAUGUGGAGGAAUACCGGUGGCGAAGGCGGCCCCCUGGGCAAAGGACUGACGCUCAUGUGCGAAAGCUGGGGAGCAAACAGGAUUAGAUACC